rnacentral:rRNA from 1 species
UACGGUAGGGGCAAGCGUUGUCCGGAAUCAUUGGGCGUAAAGAGCGUGUGAGCGGGCCAGAUAAGUCCGCUGUGGAAAUCUCGAGGCUCAACUUCGAGCUGUCGGUGGAAACUGUCUGGCUAGAGUCCGGAAGAGGAAGAUGGAAUCCUGGUGUAGCGGUGAAAUGCGCAGAUAUCAGGAGGAACACCGGUGGCGAAGGCGGGUCUCUGGGCCGAUACUGACGCUGGAGGAGCGAAAGCGUGGGGAGCGAACAGG